rnacentral:lncRNA from 1 species
UAAAAAUACAAAAAUUAGCUGGGCAUGGUGGUGCACUCCUGUAAUCCCAGCUACUCGGGAGGCUGAGAGAUGAGAAUCACUUGAACCCAGGAGGCGGAGAUUGCAGUGAGCCGAGAUCGUGCCAUUGUACUCCAGCCUGGGCGACAGAGCAAGACUCCAUCUCAAAAAAAAAAAAAAAAAAAAAUUUGCCCUGUCCCCUGAGACUCAGAGGUCAGCCCCUGCAGAGUCCCUUCUGCACACCCCCAGCCCCACCCCAGCCUUAGCAGCCCUCUGUCUGGGCAGGACUUUGUGGCCCUCUCUCCAGUCUGGAGACCAGAAGGCCAGGAAGGGAGGCCAGGCAUGGUGGCUUAUGCUUGUAAUUUCAGCACUUUGGGAGGCCAAGGUGGGAGGAUCGCCUGAGCCCAGGAGUUCAGUGCUACAGUGAGCUAUGAAGACGCCACCAUACCCCACCCUGGGCAACAGAGUGAGACCCCAUCUCUAAAAAAGGAAAAAAAAAAAAAAAAGAAAGAAAGAAAAGAAAGAACAGGAAGGAUCUAAUUCCACUGGAUCAGCAUGAAAGUGGCGUGUGCCUCUGUAUGUCCAUUUCGCUUUCUCUGUCCUGCUCUGACCCAGCAGAUUGGCCUCCAGGGACUGCACCACUGAGACCCCACACUCUCUUGCUUCUCGUGAGGUGUGGCCAGUGGAGACACUGGCAUGAGAUCAGGGGGCGGGAAGACAGAGCCCAGUUCCCUCUGGUGGCUUCAUCCUUUCACCUACAGCCCCUGCUCCUGCGGGGCCCCUCACCCAUGGCUACUGCCUGCUGAUCCAGGAAACAUCACUCCCUCCCUCCCAUCAGCAAUCAGAUCCAGGAGUGCUUAGGGCCCCAUUACAGCCAAGUCCCAGGUCACCCUCUCUGGUCCAUUCCCCUAAUGCUGCCCACACCUUUGUAAACGCUCUCAAUUGCCCUGUGAGACAGCGUACCCUCUGUUUCCUGCCAGGGCCCGACGCAUACAGGGUGUGGGCAAGGGUUUGUGAAAUGCAGGGUCUUAGAGUUCACCCAGUUCACCUUCCCUUUUAAAAAUGUUUCAUUUUAGAGACAGGGUCUUGCUCUGUCACAGAGGCUGGCGUCCAGGGGUGCCAUCAUAGCUCACUGCAGCCUCCAACUCCUGGGCUCAAGCGAUCCUCCCACCUCAGCCUCCAUAGUAGCUGGGACUGCAGGUUCACACUACCAUGUCUGGCUAAUUUUUCUUUUGUUUUGUUUUGAGACAGUCUUGUUCCCUGUCACCCAGGCUGGAGUGCAGUGGCAUGAUCUGGGCUCACUGAAACCUCCUUCACCUGGGUUCAAGUGAUUCUCCUGCCUCAACCUCCACAGUAGCAGGGAUUACAGGCAUGCACCACCAUGGCUGGCUAAUUUUUGUAUUUUGUGUAGAGACGGGGUUUCACCAUGUUGGCCAGGUUGGUCUCAAACUCCUGACCUCAGGUGAUCCUCCUGCUUCUGCCUCCCAAAAUGCUGGGAUUCCAAGUGUGAGCCACCACGCCUGGCCUUAACCACCAUGCCCAGCCUUAAUUUUUGUAUUUAUAUUUUGUAGAGAUGGGGUGUUGCUAUGUUGCCCAGGCUGGACUUGAACUCUUGGUCUCAAGCAAUCCUCCCACCUCGGCCUCCCAAAGCACUAGGAUUAGAGGUGUGAGCCAUCUGCACCUGGCCUAACCAUUGCUUUUUAUGUAAGGGGAAACUGAGGCCCAGAGAGUGUGAGUGAUCUGUCUUGGGUCACUCAGCCCCAGGGUUGGGGCUCAAAGCUGUUCUGAAAAGGUUCUGGAGAGGCCAGGGCUUAUCUCACAGAGGUUGGCAGCCUGUCUGCCCCAUCCCCUGCCUGCCUCUCCCAGCCUGGUAGCUUCAAGAUCAUUUGAGCAUUUCCUCCACAGCAGGAGCCGGAUGCAUCUGCUCCACCUAAUAACCCCAUUAGGGCCAUUUGCGCCUCUCAGGGGCAGGCGCCUGGGAACCCAGCCAGCGCCCUCCUCCCUGACCUCUUGCCCCAGAGGGCGGGGCCCCUCCACAUGGCACAGGGUGUCUUCCGGUCUCCUCUCCAUCCCUCACCCUCCCCUACCUGCCCAUCAGCAACACAUUGCUCCUCCUGCCUGGCACCCUUCCAAGGUCCACCUGGCCCAAGUGUCCUGCUCCUUCUUCAAAGCCACCCCUCCCCAAGAUGCUGCCUCUGAAGCUCAAACAGUCCAUCUCCCUGACAGUUGUGUCCUCUCCUUCUCUCGUAUGUGGUAGUAUCACUGUCCUCCCCCUAAAGCAGUGGGCACCUUGAGGGCAGAACCUUGCCACGGGCAUCUCUGGCCCCUGGGGUCCGAGCACUGAGUGGGAAUCCUGAUGAUAAGUGUUGCAUGAGCUGGGCACAGUGGCUCACGCCUGUAAUCCCAGCAGGAGGAUCACUUGAGACCAGGAGUUCGAGACCAGCCUGGGCAACAUAGUGAGACCCCGUCUCUAAAGAAAUUUAAAAAAUUAGCCAGACAUGGUGCCAUGUACCUACAGUCCAAGCUACUCAGGAGGCUGAGGCGGGAGGAUCGCUUGCACCCAGGAGUUUGAGGCUGCAAUGAGCUAUGAUCACACCACUGUUCUUUCCAGCCUGGGCAACAGAGUAAGAUUCCAUGUCUACAAAAAAAUUAAAAAUUAGCCAGACGUGGUGUCAUGUGCCUGUAGUCCCAGCUACUCUCAGGAGGCUGAGGUGGGAGGAUCACUGGAGCCCAGGAAUUAGAGACUGCAGUGAGCUAUGAUGGUGCCACUGCACUCCAGCCUGGGCUAUAAGGUGAAACUCCAUUUCAAAAAAAAAAAAAAAAAAGAAACUGCACCUUUUGCCUUUCGUGUACUCUAGGAAAGGAUUGGAGGAAGUGGAGGCAGAGGGCUUGAAGUCCUCCAGCCAACAGGGGGCAGGCUGGGGAGAGGGGCCACAGGGAGGAUGCUUGGGUGGAAAGAUAGCAAGUGCCAGCCAUGCUGCCCCGUGGCCUUUGGUUACCAGGAGGCUGUCUGGGCAGGACAAGAGGAGCACCUAUCUCAGGUCCACAGUCUGCCAACAAGCCCAGCUAAUUUUUUGUCAUUUUUGUAGAGAUAGGGUUUCACCAUGUUGCCCAGGCUGGUCUCGAACUCCUGGGCUCAAGUGAUCCUCCUGCCUCAGCCUCCCAAAGUGCUGGGAUUACAGGCCUGAGCCACCGCAACCGGCUUUGGGUCCACAGUCUUCACAGUUCCCAAGGCAUGUUCACCUUGGUUUAGCCUUACUGUGGCCUUGUGGGUUCAGGGUUACCAUCCUCAUUUUACAGAUAGGGACAGUAAGGCUGGCAGAGAGACCUGUCCUGCCCCAGGUGACAAUUUCUCUAGGAUCCUGAGCCUUGCCCUGGUCCUACACGCCCUUGGGGACCUCCUCAGGAGGAGGAGCCAGGGGCAGUGGUGCAGAAAGACUACCCAGGUGUAUGAUGUCAGAGGCAGGCAGGGAGGUGUUGGGGGCAUUUAUUUCUGAUAGAGACUGGCACAAGCUUUGGGCUAAGGACACCCGCCCCCACCCUCAUCUAGAAACAAUCUCUCUCGCCAGACUUGAUGGCUCACGCCUGUAAUCCCAGCACUUCGGGAGGCCGAGUCAGGCAGAUCACAAGGUCAAGAGAUGGAGGCCAUCCUGGCCAACAUGGUGAAACCCCAUCUCUACUAAAAAUACAAAAAUGAGCUGGGCAUGGCGGCGUGUGCCUGUAGUCCCAGCUACUCAGGAGGCUGAAGCAGGAAAAUCGCUUGAACCCGUGUUGCAGUGAGCCAAGAUCGCGCCAGCCUGGCGACAGAGUGAGACUCCGUCUCAAAAAAAAAAAAAAAAAAAAAAAAAGUAAAGAAAAGAAACAAUCUCUCUCAGGGUCCAGAAGCUUCAGGGCGUGUCCCAGCCCAGGCUCUGCAGCCUGGGCCAGGGAGGAGGUGUAGGGACACGUGGGCCCCUCUGGUACCCCUCAGGAAUCCCCCUCGGCCAGAGUGCUGAACGCGAGGUGCGUGGUGUAUCUUCUCACACUCCCUGUCUCCUCUGGGCCUGAUAGGGAAGUGCUCCUGCAGCUGUUGAAGCUUGGGAGGGGAGGAGAGAGGGAGAGAUGAUGGAUGCUGAAGAAAGGCUCUGGCCGAGAUCCCACAGCCAUUGGCUAGCAUGCUCUGACCCAUCGCACAGGGGAAACUGAGACUCCACUGGCCGGGCAGAAUUAACCAAAGGGACUGAGGCGAUUCCUUCAAACCUCACAAAUCCAGCUCAUUGCUCCUGCUCCCCAUCACUCUCCCCCUCCACCCUCCACACCUCAGGACCCCGCUCAAACAUUAUCUGCCUGUCUCCCCUGAUCAAAACCCACUCCCGGCUCCCAUAGGCUGCAGGAUACAGCCCAGUUCCUCAGCUAGGCACCUGGGGCCCC